UACGUAGGGUCCGAGCGUUGUCCGGAAACAUUGGGCGUAAAGCGCAUGUAGGCGGCCCUUUAAGUCGGAUGUGAAGUCCCAGGGCUCAACCCUGGAACUGCAUCCGAUACUGGAGGGCUUGAGGAAGGUAGAGGAGAGUGGAAUUCCCGGUGUAGCGGUGGAAUGCGCAGAUAUCGGGAGGAACACCAGCGGCGAAGGCGGCUCUCUGGGCCUCUCCUGACGCUGAGAUGCGAAAGCGUGGGUAGCGAACAGG
rnacentral:misc_RNA from 1 species